rnacentral:rRNA from 1 species
CUACGGGAUGCACCAGUGGGGAAUAUUGCACAAUGGAGGAAACUCUGAUGCAGCAACGCCGCGUGAGCGAAGAAGGUCUUCGGAUCGUAAAGCUCUGUCCUUGGGGAAGAACACAAUGACGGUACCCAUGGAGGAAGCCCCGGCUAACUACGUGCCAGCAGCCGCGGUAAUACGUAGGGGGCGAGCGUUAUCCGGACAUUACUGGGCGUAAAGAGUGCGUAGGCGGCACUGUAAGCGCGGGGUCUAAUUUCACAGCUUAACUGUGAACCGCCCCGUGAACUGCAGAGCUUGAGUACGGGAGGGGAAGAUGGAAUUCCUGGUGUAGCGGUGAAAUGCGCAGAUAUCAGGAGGAACACCGGUGGCGAAGGCGAUCUUCUGGACCGAAACUGACGCUGAGGCACGAAAGCGUGGGUAGCAAACAGGAUUAGAUACCCUUGUAGUC